rnacentral:misc_RNA from 1 species
UUGUUGGUGGUGAAAAAAGUGGAUCCCAGACUUUUGAUGUUAAGGCUAUUGAGAAUAUUCCACCAAGUCUUCCUCUCCAAAGUCCUGGACUUGCAGAUGAGCACAUGACAUCCAAUUCAAUGCCUGUUGAAAAGAUUGAUAAGCUAGACACAGUUCCAGCUGUACUUACGUGUGAAGACCUUGAACAGUCAAUUCUGUCAGAAAUUACUGAAAAUGGCUCAAUGCUGCAGCCUCCUUUGCUGGGCUGGAGUGGUUCUGGACCAAAGACUGAACAUCAGAAAGCCGAUAUUGAUGAUCAUGCAUCACAGCACCUUCUUUCAUUGUUGCAGAAGGGUGCUGGUCUGUCAACUGAUUUUGAAAUCAUAUGUUCAGACGCGCAACAAAAUAUGGAAUCUGAGAAUCUUGGCGCUGUGCUCUCUAAUUCCAGAGAGAUACACACCGAGAACAUUCACAAUGCAGGCAAGCCUUUGACUCUUGAAAUGCUUUUUGGAACCGCUUUCAUGAAGGAAUUGCAGCCAGUAGGAA